rnacentral:rRNA from 1 species
AGUGAACGCUGGCGGUAGGCCUAACACAUGCAAGUCGAACGGCAGCACAGUAAGAGCUUGCUCUUACGGGUGGCGAGUGGCGGACGGGUGAGGAAUACAUCGGAAUCUACUUUUUCGUGGGGGAUAACGUAGGGAAACUUACGCUAAUACCGCAUACGACCUACGGGUGAAAGCAGGGGAUCUUCGGACCUUGCGCGAUUGAAUGAGCCGAUGUCGGAUUAGCUAGUUGGCGGGGUAAAGGCCCACCAAGGCGACGAUCCGUAGCUGGUCUGAGAGGAUGAUCAGCCACACUGGAACUGAGACACGGUCCAGACUCCUACGAGAGGCAGCAGUGGGGAAUAUUGGACAAUGGGCGCAAGCCUGAUCCAGCCAUACCGCGUGGGUGAAGAAGGCCUUCGGGUUGUAAAGCCCUUUUGUUGGGAAAGAAAAGCAGCAGGUUAAUACCCCGCUGUUCUGACGGUACCCAAAGAAUAAGCACCGGCUAACUUCG